rnacentral:rRNA from 1 species
GACGAACGCCGUCGGCGUGCUUAACACAUGCAAGUCGAACGGAAAGGCCCUGCUUUUGUGGGGUGCUCGAGUGGCGAACGGGUGAGUAACACGUGAGUAACCUGCCCUUGACUUUGGGAUAACUUCAGGAAACUGGGGCUAAUACCGGAUAGGAGCUCCUGCUGCAUGGUGGGGGUUGGAAAGUUUCGGCGGUUGGGGAUGGACUCGCGGCUUAUCAGCUUGUUGGUGGGGUAGUGGCUUACCAAGGCUUUGACGGGUAGCCGGCCUGAGAGGGUGACCGGCCACAUUGGGACUGAGAUACGGCCCAGACUCCUACGGGAGGCAGCAGUGGGGAAUAUUGCACAAUGGGCGGAAGCCUGAUGCAGCAACGCCGCGUGCGGGAUGACGGCCUUCGGGUUGUAAACCGCUUUCGCCUGUGACGAAGCGUGAGUGACGGUAAUGGGUAAAGAAGCACCGGCUAACUACGUGCCAGCAGCCGCGGUGAUACGUAGGGUGCGAGCGUUGUCCGGAUUUAUUGGGCGUAAAGGGCUCGUAGGUGGUUGAUCGCGUCGGAAGUGUAAUCUUGGGGCUUAACCCUGAGCGUGCUUUCGAUACGGGUUGACUUGAGGAAGGUAGGGGAGAAUGGAAUUCCUGGUGGAGCGGUGGAAUGCGCAGAUAUCAGGAGGAACACCAGUGGCGAAGGCGGUUCUCUGGGCCCUUCCUGACGCUGAGGAGCGAAAGCGUGGGGAGCGAACAGGCUUAGAUACCCUGGUAGUCCACGCUGUAAACGGUGGGUACUAGGUGUGGGGUCCAUUCCACGGGUUCCGUGCCGUAGCUAACGCUUUAAGUACCCCGCCUGGGGAGUACGGCCGCAAGGCUAAAACUCAAAGGAAUUGACGGGGCCCCGCACAAGCGGCGGAGCAUGCGGAUUAAUUCGAUGCAACGCGUAGAACCUUACCUGGGUUUGACAUGGAUCGGGAGUGCUCAGAGAUGGGUGUGCCUCUUUUGGGGUCGGUUCACAGGUGGUGCAUGCCUGUCGUCAGCUCGUGUCGUGAGAUGUUGGGUUAAGUCCCGCAACGAGCGCAACCCUUGUUCACUGUUGCCAGCACGUUAUGGUGGGGACUCAGUGGAGACCGCCGGGGUCAACUCGGAGGAAGGUGGGGAUGACGUCAAGUCCUCAUGCCCCUUAUGUCCAGGGCUUCACGCAUGCUACAAUGGCUGGUACAGAGAGUGGCGAGCCUGUGAGGGUGAGCGAAUCUCGGAAAGCCGGUCUCAGUUCGGAUUGGGGUCUGCAACUCGACCUCAUGAAGUCGGAGUCGCUAGUAAUCGCAGAUCAGCAACGCUGCGGUGAAUACGUUCCCGGG